CAUUUGAGUGAGUGGCGAACUGGUGAGUAACACGUGGGAAACCUGCCCAGAAGCGGGGGAUAACACCUGGAAACAGAUGCUAAUACCGCAUAACAACUUGGACCGCAUGGUCCGAGUUUGAAAGAUGGCUUCGGCUAUCACUUUUGGAUGGUCCCGCGGCGUAUUAGCUAGAUGGUGGGGUAACGGCUCACCAUGGCNAUGAUACGUAGCCGACCUGAGAGGGUAAUCGGCCACAUUGGGACUGAGACACGGCCCAAACUCCUACGGGAGGCAGCAGUAGGGAAUCUUCCACAAUGGACGAAAGUCUGAUGGAGCAACGCCGCGUGAGUGAAGAAGGGUUUCGNCUCGUAAAACUCUGUUGUUAAAGAAGAACAUAUCUGAGAGUAACUGUUCAGGUAUUGACGGUAUUUAACCAGAAAGCCACGGCUAACUACGUGCCAGCAGCCGCGGUAAUACGUAGGUGGCAAGCGUUGUCCGGAUUUAUUGGGCGUAAAGCGAGCGCAGGCGGUUUUUUAAGUCUGAUGUGAAAGCCUUCGGCUCAACCGAAGAAGUGCAUCGGAAACUGGGAAACUUGAGUGCAGAAGAGGACAGUGGAACUCCAUGUGUAGCGGUGAAAUGCGUAGAUAUAUGGAAGAACACCAGUGGCGAAGGCGGCUGUCUGGUCUGUAACUGACGCUGAGGCUCGAAAGUAUGGGUAGCAAACAGGAUUAGAUACCCUGGUAGUCCAUACCGUAAACGAUGAAUGCUAAGUGUUGGAGGGUUUCCGCCCUUCAGUGCUGCAGCUAACGCAUUAAGCAUUNCGCCUGGGGAGUACGGCCGCAAGGCUGAAACUCAAAGGAAUUGACGGGGGCCCGCACAAGCGGUGGAGCAUGUGGUUUAAUUCGAAGCUACGCGAAGAACCUUACCAGGUCUUGACAUACUAUGCAAAU
rnacentral:rRNA from 1 species